rnacentral:lncRNA from 1 species
UGGUGUAGUCGAUGGUUGUUGAUGUCAUGUCGUCAUGCUCCGAUAGAAGAUAGCUGUUUCCCGUCGGGAAUUUAUUUGCCGGUCCGACAGCGUAGAUCAGUUUAGUCUCCGGUUGUGUAAUAUUCAAUUGAAACCCAAGAUACAAUCUCGAAGUCUGUGAUAUUAUCCAUGGAUUAACGAGAUUCAAAUUUCCUGUAUCAGGCGGGCAACUGCUGGAUUUCGUCCCACCAAGGUAGUAUUUCUUCACCGUCCCUGCCUCACCGGAUUGAACCCAACCAGCGACAGCACUUGUUCCCACC